CAUGCCCCAGCAAGGCACAGGAAUGCAGCAAGAGGAUCAAGUGGUUGUGAUGAGUAGCCAUGCAGCAUGAUGAAGCCUUAAAGGGGAACUUCGUUGAAGACUUUUGUUCAGCAAUUUUUCAUUCACAUCACUUCGAAGCGUUCAAGGCGAACUUCAUUGAAGACUUUUGUUCAGUAAUUUUUCAUUCACAUAACUUUGAAGCUUUCAAGGCGAACUUUGUUGAAGACUUGUUCAGUAAUUUUUCAUUCACAUAACUUCGAAGCCUUCAAAGUGAACUUCGUUGAAGACUUCUGUUCAGUAAUAAUUUAUUCCCAUAACUUCACUUACAUUACCCUUACAUUCAAAGACUGAUUUCAUUUUAUGUUCAAUAAAUGUGUUUGAAAACAAUGUGCU
rnacentral:lncRNA from 1 species